rnacentral:rRNA from 1 species
AGGAGUUUGAUCAUGGCUCAGAACGAACGCUGGCGGCGUGCCUAACACAUGCAAGUCGAACGAGAAAGUUUCCUUCGGGGAAUGAGUAAAGUGGCGCAAGGGUGAGUAACACGUGAAUAAUCUGCCUUCGAGACUGGGAUAACUUGAUGAAAGUUAAGCUAAUACCGGAUAAGACCACGCUUCACAAGGAGUGCGGCAAAAGGGGUCUCAAACCCUGCUUGAAGAUGAGUUCGCGUACCAUUAGCUUGUUGGUGAGAUAACAGCUCACCAAGGCAACGAUGGUUAGCCGGCCUGAGAGGGUGAUCGGCCACACUGGAACUGAGACACGGUCCAGACUCCUACGGGAGGCAGCAGUGGGGAAUCUUGCGCAAUGGGCGAAAGCCUGACGCAGCAACGCCGCGUGAGCGAUGAAGGCCUUCGGGUCGUAAAGCUCUGUCAAGUGGGAAGAACACAAUGACGGUACCACUAGAGGAAGCCCCGGCUAACUUCGUGCCAGCAGCCGCGGUAAUACGAAGGGGGCAAGCGUUGUUCGGAAUUAUUGGGCGUAAAGCGUGUGUAGGUGGUCUUUCAAGUCAGACGUGUAAGCCCUCGGCUCAACCGAGGAAUUGCGUUUGAAACUGAUCGACUUGAGUGCAGGAGAGGAAAGCGGAAUUCCCAGUGUAGCGGUGAAUGCGUUGAUAUUGGGAAGAACACCGGGGCGAAGGCGGCUUUCUGGUCUGCUACUUG